AGCUGCGUGGUGAGCACAAAGCGAACUAUUCUUUCGCCUUUUACUAAAGAAUACCGUGUGCCCUUUUACUAAAGAAUACCCGUGUGCACAUCACAAAUAGCAGCAUACUCUUAUUUUUGGAAGGUGUUUCCUCCUCUACAAAU
rnacentral:snRNA from 1 species